GGAGGAAGCUGCCUAGGCCCUAAGAUCAGCUGGCCUGGCUGAGAGGGGGAUGCUGCCUAGGCCCUAAGAUCAGCUAGCCUGGCUGAGAGGGGGAAGCUGCCUAGGCCCUAAGAUCAGCUGGCCUGGCUGAGAGAGGAUGCUGCCUAGGCCCUAGGAUCAGCUGGCCUGGCUGAUAGAGGAUGCUGCCUAGGCCCUAGGAUCAGCUGGCCUGGCUGAGAGAGGAUGCUGCCUAGGCCCUAGGAUCAGCUGGCCUGGCUGAGAGGGGGAUGGAUCAGCUGGCCUGGCUGAUAGAGGAUGGCUAGCGGCUACAUGCUGACAAAGAGAGCAGGUGGUGGAGACAUUCACCAUGUCUCGUCAACAUAGAGCUCCUUGGUUAAAGAAGGGACUUGAGCUGUCCAGAGGAGAAUUCAUUGAGAACAUUUGCCAUGUGAUGCAAAC
ensembl:lncRNA